rnacentral:rRNA from 1 species
UACGGGGGGUGCGAGCGUUGUCCGGAAUCACUGGGCGUAAAGGGCGCGUAGGUGGCCCGGUCAGUCCGUGGUGAAAGCGCGGGGCUCAACCCCGCGUCGGCCAUGGAUACUGCUGGGCUUGAGCACUGUAGAGGCAGGCGGAAUUCCGGGUGUAGCGGUGGAAUGCGUAGAGAUCCGGAAGAACACCGGUGGCGAAGGCGGCCUGCUGGGCAGUUUUGCUGACACUGAGGCGCGACAGCGUGGGGAGCAAACAGG